rnacentral:rRNA from 1 species
CAAAUGAAGAGUUUGAUCCUGGCUCAGGAUGAACGCUGGCGGCGUGCCUAAUACAUGCAAGUCGAACGCUGGAAAUCUAGCUUGCUAGAUUGAAGGAGUGGCGAACGGGUGAGUAAUACAUAAGCAACCUACCCACGAAGACUGGGAUAAUCUCUGGAAACGGGGACUAAUACCGGAUAGGUAAUCGGAAGGCAUCUUCUGAUUAUUAAAGGUUAAAAACACUGGUGGAUGGGCUUAUGGCGCAUUAGUUAGUUGGUGAGGUAACGGCCCACCAAGACGAUGAUGCGUAGCCGGCCUGAGAGGG